rnacentral:rRNA from 1 species
GGGUUGUGAGGUUAAGCGACCAAGCGUACACGGUGGAUGCCCUGGCAGUCAGAGGCGAUGAAGGACGUGCUAAUCUGCGAAAAGCGCCGGUAAGGUGAUAUGAACCGUUAUAACCGGCGAUGUCCGAAUGGGGAAACCCAGUGUGAUUCGUCACACUAUCAUUAACUGAAUCCAUAGGUUAAUGAGGCGAACCGGGGGAACUGAAACAUCUAAGUACCCCGAGGAAAAGAAAUCAACCGAGAUUCCCCCAGUAGCGGCGAGCGAACGGGGAGGAGCCCAGAGCCUGAAUCAGCAUGUGUGUUAGUGGAAGCGUCUGGAAAGGCGCGCGAUACAGGGUGAGAGCCCCGUACACAAAAGCGCACGUGCUGUGAGCUCGAUGAGUAGGGCGGGACACGUGGUAUCCUGUCUGAAUAUGGGGGGACCAUCCUCCAAGGCUAAAUACUCCUGACUGACCGAUAGUGAACCAGUACCGUGAGGGAAAGGCGAAAAGAACCCCGGCGAGGGGAGUGAAACAGAACCUGAAACCGUGUACGUACAAGCAGUGGGAGCCCCACCACUAAGCCAGUGGUGAACUCCACAUACGCAUCCUUUGCUGAGGAUACGGUUAACGGAGCGAGAGCGACGUUCAACCGCAAAAGAAGCAGAGGGGGCUUAGUGGUGGGGUGACUGCGUACCUUUUGUAUAAUGGGUCAGCGACUUAUAUUCUGUAGCAAGGUUAACCGCAUAGGGGAGCCGGAGGGAAACCGAGUCUUAAUUGGGCGUUAAGUUGCAGGGUAUAGACCCGAAACCCGGUGAUCUAGCCAUGGGCAGGUUGAAGGUUGGGUAACACUAACUGGAGGACCGAACCGACUAAUGUUGAAAAAUUAGCGGAUGACCUGUGGCUGGGGGUGAAAGGCCAAUCAAACCGGGAGAUAGCUGGUUCUCCCCGAAAGCUAUUUAGGUAGCGCCUCGUGAAUUCAUCUCCGGGGGUAGAGCACUGUUUCGGCCAGGGGGCCAUCCCGGCUUACCAAUCCGAUGCAAACUGCGAAUACCGGAGAAUGUUAUCACGGGAGACACACGGCGGGUGCUAACGUCCGUCGUGAAGAGGGAAACAACCCAGACCGCCAGCUAAGGUCCCAAAGUCAUGGUUAAGUGGGAAACGAUGUGGGAAGGCCCAGACAGCCAGGAUGUUGGCUUAGAAGCAGCCAUCAUUUAAAGAAAGCGUAAUAGCUCACUGGUCGAGUCGGCCUGCGCGGAAGAUGUAACGGGGCUAAACCAUGCACCGAAGCUGCGGCAGCGACACUGAUGUGUUGUUGGGUAGGGGAGCGUUCUGUAAGCCGUUGAAGGUGUGUCGUGAGGCAUGCUGGAGGUAUCAGAAGUG